ACGGCUGCUCAGUAACACGUAGUCAACCUAACCUAUGGACGAGAAUAACCUCGGGAAACUGAGAAUAAUGCUCGAUAGAACACUAUACCUGGAAUGGUUUGUGUUUCAAAUGAUUUAUCGCCGUAGGAUGGGACUGCGGCCUAUCAGUUUGUUGGUGAGGUAAUGGCCCACCAAGACUAUUACAGGUACGGGCUCUGAGAGGAGAAGCCCGGAGAUGGGUACUGAGACAAGGACCCAGGCCCUAUGGGGCGCAGCAGGCGAGAAAACUUUGCAAUGUGCGAAAGCACGACAAGGUUAAUCCGAGUGAUUUCUGCUAAAGAAAUCUUUUGCAAGUCAUAAAACCACUAGUGAAUAAGGGGUGGGCAAGUUCUGGUGUCAGCCGCCGCGGUAAAACCAGCACCUCAAGUGGUCAGGAGGAUUAUUGGGCCUAAAGCAUCCGUAGCCGGCUCUGUAAGUUUUCGGUUAAAUCCAUGUGCUCAACGCAUGGGCUGUCGAAAAUACUGCAUAGCUAGGGAGUGGGAGAGGUAGACGGUACUCGGUAGGAAGGGGUAAAAUCCUUUGAUCUAUCGAUGACCACCUGUGGCGAAGGCGGUCUACCAGAACACGUUCGACGGUGAGGGAUGAAAGCUGGGGGAGCAAACCGGAUUAGAUACCCGGGUAGUCCCAGCUGUAAACGAUGCAGACUCGAUGAUGCAUUGGCAUAUGGCCAGUGCAGUGUCGCAGGGAAGCCGUUAAGUCUGCCGCCUGGGAAGUACGUACGCAAGUAUGAAACUUAAAGGAAUUGGCGGGGGAGCAG
rnacentral:rRNA from 1 species